AUUGAACGCUGGCGGCAGGCUUAACACAUGCAAGUCGAGCGGAGAUGAGGUGCUUGCACCUUAUCUUAGCGGCGGACGGGUGAGUAAUGCUUAGGAAUCUGCCUAUUAGUGGGGGACAACAUUCCGAAAGGAAUGCUAAUACCGCAUACGUCCUACGGGAGAAAGCAGGGGAUCUUCGGACCUUGCGCUAAUAGAUGAGCCUAAGUUGGAUUAGCUAGUUGGUGGGGUAAAGGCCUACCAAGGCGACGAUCUGUAGCGGGUCUGAGAGGAUGAUCCGCCACACUGGGACUGAGACACGGCCCAGACUCCUACGGGAGGCAGCAGUGGGGAAUAUUGGACAAUGGGGGGAACCCUGAUCCAGCCAUGCCGCGUGUGUGAAGAAGGCCUUAUGGUUGUAAAGCACUUUAAGCGAGGAGGAGGCUACUGAGACUAAUACCCUUGGAUAGUGGACGUUACUCGCAGAAUAAGCACCGGCUAACUCUGUGCCAGCCGCCGCGGUAA
rnacentral:rRNA from 1 species